rnacentral:rRNA from 1 species
AUGGAAGUGAAGGCAGUGCAGACAAAAGUGUUCGCCAGGUUGAAGUACAGAAUUUCUUAUGGCAAGGCUUGGAGGGCUAAGCAUGCAGCGCUUGAGAGGAGAUUUGGUUCUUAUUUUGAUGCAUAUGACUCUGUUGUCCACCUCCUCCACACCCUGCAGCAGCGGAAUCCAGGCACCUAUAUCGAUAUCCAAGACAUGUUAAUGCCAGAGUUCCCAACUGUGAGGGUUUUGCAUCGUCUCUUCUUCUCUUUCGGUGUAUGCAUCAAAGCUUUCAGGCAUUGCCGACCGGUGAUAUGUGUUGACGGUACUUUUCUCACAAGCAAGUACAAGGGUCAGAUACUGACAGCCAUAGGUCAAGACGGGCAAAAUCAAGUCGUCCCACUGGCAUUUGCUUUUGUGGAGAGUGAGAACAUUGAAAGUUGGACAUGGUUCUUCAGGCAGUUGAAAAUAUCAGUUGUCAAGGAGAAGCCGAAUGUGUGCAUCCUUCAUGACAGGCAUGCAGGUAUACUCAGUGCGAUAAGGACACUGACAAACCCAGGCCCUGAGGAACAAGUUCCAUGGCAGGACUUGCAGAGCCGUUGGUGCAUGUGCCAUCUGGGGGCUAAUUUCUUCUCGCAGUUUAGAAAUAAGAACCUGAUGAAUCUGUUCAAAAAACUCUGCAAGCAGAACCAGUUAUGA